AGAGGAUAAGAGAAAAGCUGGCAGAGAACAUCCACGAGCUCUGGGUUAUGAAUAAAAUUGAACUUGGCUGGCAGUAUGGCCCGGUCAGAGAUGACAACAAGAGGCAGCACCCGUGUCUGGUGGAGUUCUCCAAGCUGCCGGAGCAGGAGCGCAACUACAACCUGCAGAUGUCGCUCGAGACCCUGAAGACCUUGUUGGCAUUAGGAUGCCACGUGGGAAUAUCAGAUGAACAUGCUGAGGAAAAGGUGAAAAAGAUGAAGCUCCCCAAGAAGUA